GACGAACGCUGGCGGCGUGCUUAACACAUGCAAGUCGAACGAUGAACUUGGAGCUUGCUCUGGGGGAUUAGUGGCGAACGGGUGAGUAACACGUGAGUAACCUGCCCUGGACUCUGGGAUAACUUCGAGAAAUCGGAGCUAAUACCGGAUAGGACCUUGCACCGCAUGGUGUGGGGUGGAAAGUUUUUCGGUUUGGGAUGGACUCGCGGCCUAUCAGCUUGUUGGUGAGGUAGUGGCUCACCAAGGCGUCGACGGGUAGCCGGCCUGAGAGGGUGACCGGCGACACUGGGACUGAGACACGGCCCAGACUCCUACGGGAGGCAGCAGUGGGGAAUAUUGCACAAUGGGCGCAAGCCUGAUGCAGCAACGCCGCGUGCGGGAUGACGGCCUUCGGGUUGUAAACCGCUUUUAGUAGGGAAGAAGCCUUCGGGUGACGGUACCUGCAGAAAAAGGACCGGCUAACUACGUGCCAGCAGCCGCCGUAACAC
rnacentral:rRNA from 1 species